rnacentral:rRNA from 1 species
AUGCUCAGUGUGAUUAAAUGUGUUGCUUUAUCCAAGAUGGCUGAUAAGCCUGUAUGGACCUUAGAAAGUAAAGGAGUGUAUUCAGUGAAAUCUAUGUAUAAAAUGAUCAAUUGGGGGGGAGUGGUCUCUAUUUGGAGAGAUUUUAUUUGGAGAAUUAAAGUCCCACCUAAUAUUCAUGUGUUUCUUUGGUUAAUGGUGCAUAACAAGAGUCUAACUAGGGAUAAUCUGGCUAAACGCCAACAUGUGGAGGACCUGACGUGUGUCUUCUGUGGUGAAGCUGAAAGUAUCCAUCACCUAUUUUUUGAGUGUGUGGUGGCCCGACAAGUGUGGCUCAUGAUUUCUAACUGCACUAAGAUGCAUGUGCCUGAAUCGUUUGAAUCUUUUAUUCCUUUUUGGAAGAAGAAAAAACACUAUGAUGCAAUUAACCUGAUCUCUGCUGCUACCUUAUGGAGCUUAUGGUUGUUCCGGAAUGAAUUUGUGUUUCAGGGGAGAAAAUGGCGAAGCAUCAAGUGUGUGCUGGAACUGGUGGGGAGGCAUAUCCAUCAAUGGAAAAUCUUGUGUGUGCCCAAGCUGUGCUACUCCUCCAAUGCUUGA